rnacentral:tmRNA from 1 species
GGGGGCGUCACGGCUUCGACGGAAAUGCUUGCGGCCAGGAGGCAUACCGGGGCGCAUUCCCCCGUAAGUGGUGCAAAAACAAUAAGUGCCAACUCUAACCAGUUUGCAUACGCUGCUUAAUUAAAUAAGUAGCCGUCCUCCGCAGCUUCGCCUAUGGGCUGCGAAAGGGCGUCGCACAGUAGGCUGGCUUCUGCGUUGGGCCUGGACGCAGAAGUAAGACACACGGGCUAGCGACUUGCGUUUCUUGUCGGUUCUAAGCGCAGGAAGCGAAUGUGGCGGGGUAAUUCCCGUCGCGUGAACGCGACUAAGUAUGUAGGCUCUUGACCAGUAACAUUUUCGGACGCGGGUUCAACUCCCGCCGCCUCCACCA